AUUGAACGCUGGCGGCAUGCCUUACACAUGCAAGUCGAACGGCAGCACGGACUUCGGUCUGGUGGCGAGUGGCGAACGGGUGAGUAAUAUAUCGGAACGUACCUUUCAGUGGGGGAUAACGUAGCGAAAGUUACGCUAAUACCGCAUAUUCUGUGGGCAGGAAAGCAGGGGAUCGCAAGACCUUGCGCUGAUUGAGCGGCCGAUAUCAGAUUAGCUAGUUGGUGAGGUAAAGGCUCACCAAGGCGACGAUCUGUAGCGGGUCUGAGAGGAUGAUCCGCCACACUGGAACUGAGACACGGUCCAGACUCCUACGGGAGGCAGCAGUGGGGAAUUUUGGACAAUGGGGGCAACCCUGAUCCAGCCAUGCCGCGUGAGUGAAGAAGGCCUUCGGGUUGUAAAGCUCUUUCGGCCGGGAAGAAAUCGUGUGGGCUAAUACCCCAUAUGGAUGACGGUACCGGAAUAAGAAGCACCGGCUAACUACGUGCCAGCCGCCGCCGUAAAAC
rnacentral:rRNA from 1 species